GUCGAGAAUCAUUCGCAAUGGGCGAAAGCCUGACGGUGCGACGCCGCGUGGAGGAUGAAGGCCCUAGGGUCGUAAACUCCUGUCAUCAGGGAGUAAAGACUCGCGUAGUCACUGACGCGGGUCCUGAUAGUACCUGAAGAGGAAGGGACGGCAAACUUCGUGCCAGCAGCCGCGGUAAUACGAAGGUCCCAAGCGUUGUUCGGAUUUACUGGGCGUAAAGAGUCUGUAGGCGGCGGGGUAAGUCAGAUGUGAAAUCCCGGGGCUCAACCCCGGAACUGCAUCCGAUACUGCCUUGCUAGAGUAUUGGAGGGGAGCCUGGAAUUCUCGGUGUAGCAGUGAAAUGCGUAGAUAUCGAGAGGAACACUAGUGGCGAAGGCGAGGCUCUGGACAAUUACUGACGCUGAGAGACGAAGGCCAGGGGAGCGAAAAGGAUUAGAUACCCGAGUAGUCC
rnacentral:rRNA from 1 species